CUCUUCCCUUCCUACCCAUCUUAACUCCCUAAAGGAAGUCCCUUAUGCCCUCACAUGGUCAAAGGGACUACCUGGGCUCACUCAUAGCUCUUAAAGCACCUGCCAGGACCUUGAUUGGCUGGAGUUGCCAAAGCCCUGAAGAUUGGAGGAGGGGGAUCCAAUUAUUCCCAUUUCACAGAUUGGCAAACUGAGACAGCAAGAGUCUGGGUCACACUGCUAGCUAAUGGCAGAGGCAGGAUUUGACACUAAGUACUGUGCUCUCCCUGUACAAAGAUGUGAAAAGCCAAACCUCCCACCGGAGCAGAGUCACUAUUUACAAUAAUCACCACGACUGGCCCCCUAAUGCCUGGGAAAUCCCCUCCUCCCACCAGUUCCUCUUUAAAUCGAGCCUCUAUCCCUCUUGCACAGGAUGUCUGACUUAGGAAAGAACCCUACACUCACCCUGGCACCCCCACCAGGUUACUGGGGAGAGCACGGCACAGUCAUAACCUUUGACGGGGAAAUCACCCUCCGCUGUGCCGGCACCUGACAGUGUCACUGCUCUCAUCAACUCUGAGACUGGCUCUCCUACCCGGCAGGUAAACCACCUGAAGCUUCGGACCGGCUGGGUCACCUCGGGAAAGUAACUUAACCUCUCUGAACGCCCCCAAGGUCAGAAAGCUUUGCUUUCGGGGGAGAAAGCGGUAUGCAAACAAGACGCAUACGAAACACACACCCGCGGGCGCCGGCGCAGUCCUUUCCCGGAGCCUGGGGCUUUCUAACGGGGAACGCGCGCCCCCAGCCCCCGAGACCGGCGAAACCAAGCGCCGAGCCGGCUAGCAGAAGCGAAACCUCAACACUCUUCAGCCUCCCCCGCUCGGUUCCGGGAACCGGCGAGCCAGGCUUCGUGGAAGCGCGCCCGGCAGCCGCGGGCCUCGGGACCGCCCCGACCACAGCCCGCAGUCCCGGGCCGGGAGUCCCUUAGGCGCGGGACGCGUGAGACGGGCGAGGAUGCCGGAGGCGGGAAGCGAGAGCGGGAAUGCCCAGCCCUGGCAAGCUGAGAGGGGCGGAGAGAGGACCAGCAGAGAUUGAGCGCCUACUGUGUGCCUUAGCGCUUGACAACAGGACUUUCGUUAGAUCUUCACUACAGCCCUUGCCAGAGGGAGUUAAUGCCCCAUUUAAGAGGGAUAAACUGAGCCUCUGAGAGGUGAAGUCACUCGCCGAAAACUGCACAGCCAGGCUCAGCGUGACACCCCAAAUCAGGGCUCAGUUACGCCAAGAAGAACACGAUGAGCUUGAACCACUGGUUUGCCGAGUCCUGUUCUUGCUCUUUUUGUGUAGACAGACACAUAGUAGGUGCUCAGGAAGAUAUUGGAAGAUGGAAAAUGAGCUUGACAGCUCAGCCCCGGAGUACGCGCCGCGAAUCCAGCCCAGCCCGCGGGGCACCGGGUUUCCCCAGACCUCAGAAGGGAACUUUUGCGAUGGGCGGACAUCUCAGUUCGACACAGGCAUUCGACAAACACGUGGUGGCGGAGCCCCAGCCCUAGCGGAGGACAGACCGGAUUCAAAUCCCAGCUCUGCCGCUAUCAGGCUGUGUGACUUUGGGCAAGUCACGUCAUCUGCCGAACCUCGGUUGUACCGCCUACAAAAUGGGGAUAUUAACAUCCACUUCCAAAGGGUUGUGGGGAGGAUUAAACGAAACAAUGUUUCUAACACACUUACUACACGCACAAGUAUCGUCGCGCGUUCAUCCCGCAACCUUCAGGCGGUGCACCCGUUCGGGAUGAGGACCCGAGACUAAGGCUCCUCGGCCCCAGUUCCCAAGUCGCCCACCCCUGGACGCACGGACCGACGGGCCUUCCAGUCACCCUCGUCCGGCGAAACCCGAAAUUUCGGGCACUUCGGCCGCGGUUGGUCCCGAAAACAAAUAUUCAAAUAUUCCGAAACUGGCGCAUGGCUAGGGCUGACAUUUUUGCGUUUAAUUUUCUUGAAGUUUUAUUCUUGUCUGUAAAGGUAAUUCGUUAGACCCUCCUAAGUGAGACUUCUCGUCUUUGUCUUGUUUAACUUUUCGUAAGAGCGAAGUUCACAAAGCAGACCAAGAAUCCGGGCGCGUGGCGGUCCUUGCGGGGAUCCGGGUCCGCAGACCGGCCCCCGGCGAACCCCUGGCUGUCGGCGCCCUCGCCCGGGCACGGCAGUGGCAGAGACAGGCCGCCCCCGACCCCGGCCCGUUUAGAUGGAGCCUCUUCGUCCUGACAGCCCUCUGGGAUUCCCGUGUCCCUGCAGGAACGAGGGGAGGUGGGGGCUGCAGCCCAGAAUUUAGCAUCCCCGACCUCCCCAAACUCCAGCCUCGCUGGGAUUAAGGGAGCAAAUCCCUGAUGCCACAGACCAGGUCAAGGACAAGUUCUCCCCCGCCCUAUUCCC
rnacentral:lncRNA from 1 species